rnacentral:rRNA from 1 species
GACGAACGCUGGCGGCGUGCUUAACACAUGCAAGUCGAACGGAAAGGCCCUGCUUUUGUGGGGAGCUCGAGUGGCGAGAGGGUGAGUAUCACGUGAGUAACCUGCCCUUGUCUUUGGGGUAACUUCAGGAGACUGGGGCUAAUAUCGGAUAGGAGCUCCUGCUGCAUGGUGGGGGUUGGAAAGUUUCGGCGGUUGGGGAUGGACUCGCGGCUUAUCAGCUUGUUGGUGGGGUAGUGGCUUACCAAGGCUUUGACGGGUAGCCGGCCUGAGAGGGUGACCGGCCACAUUGGGACUGAGGUACCGCCCGGACGCAUACGGGAGGAAGCGGUGAGGAUUAGUGCACGCAGGGCGGAAGCCUGAUGCAGCAACUCCGCGUGGUGGAUGACUGCCUUCGGGUUGUAACGCGCUUUCGCCUGUGACGCAGAGUGAGUGACGGUAACGGGUAAAGAAGCAACGGCUAACUACGUG